CUAUUAUAGCUUGUCUCUGUUAUUUUCUAAAAUUCUUUCAAGAUCUUUCCCUGUUCAGCUAGGAUCCUUGGGAAACUUAUAGUUUAUACAUCCAUUCCUCCCAAAACAAAAAACAAUUCAGCAUUUGGUCCAAAAGUGUAAGAUGCUUCUAAUCAUUGCUUUUGGUGCCCCAGUUAGUGUGUGAAAAUGAUCCAAAUAAACUUGUAUUAAAGCCCUAAUCAUAGAAGCCAUCAAAAGCAAAAAAUACAAAAAGAAAAUCAUAUCCAAUUCCUGACAUAGAAUUGAGCUUUUCCUCUUGUUGACUGCUUUCCACCUAUGCCAUUUGAUUCUCUGCAAAUUUAAAACACUCUACUGUUACAUUCUCCUCCUUUUGUGACUUUUUAGUACCCGGUAUAGCCCACAACUUUUAUUUGCAACAUCCACAAAUAAAAUAGUUAAGACUCCAAAAAAACAAAUACGGAUGACAUCUUUUAGAUGGGUGAUUUGGUCAUAUUGAAGGGAAUAGCUUGCAACUUUCUGCUAGUUUCAAGGCUUCCAAGUUUCAAAUAAGAAAAUUCCUUUAUCUGCUGCUCUCUUUGCAGAAAAACAGGAAGAAAAGAAUUGAGGAAGAGGAGGGACAUUUCAGAAUUCUGAGGGUUUUGCAUUGCAGCUGAGACAAAAAAUCAAAAUAGUUGAGAGAUUAUACCUUCACAAAAACCAAAGCUGUUCUGAUGAUCAUGAUCUUCUUAUCAUUCUUCAAAAGGAUUCAAAAGUUGCUUGCUGUGCAUAAAGUUGGACGUAGGCCGCGCGUCAAUGUACAAGUUUGAACAAGCCAUGACCCAAGAAGAUAUAUAAGCGUUGUUGACUGAAAAAAUGGGUGUUGGAAAAGUGGAGUUGAAAGGGAAAUGAGAAAACCUGGUGAAUUGCAGUCAGAAUCAGUGAAGCUAUUAUAUCUCAGCACUAAGCCACAUGGUACUUGAAAAGGAAAUGAGGAAGAGUAGAUUGAAAUUGAAAAUAAUCCAUUAUUUCAUUAAGCAAUUGGUGGUGUUGCGGCUCAAUCCCAAGAUUGUUGGUAUUUAUUUAUUAUUUGAGGUUACAAAAAGCCCCUGAAGUGGCAAUCUUAUUUUCUUUUUCUCGGCAAAAUUUGAAGUUUUGAAUCCAUUUUAGCCUGAAUUACUAUUUGGGUAGUAAGGGCGUAAACGGGUCGAGUUAGAAUGUAUAUAACUUGUUUGG